GCUAUAACAAACUAAAACAAAAGCAAAAUAUAACACAGUACAAAGAAACCCUACUUCUAUUUUCAUCUAAACCUCACAGCCUCCACCCUCUCAAGCCUCUUUGCAAUCACUAAAACUUGCUGCCGUCGCCGAUCUGUCAUCGCCGCCGCCCUUGCUGCCGUCGCCGAUCUGUCAUCGCCGCCGCCCUUGCUGCAGUCAUCGUCGCCGUCGCCGUCGCCCUUGCUGUAGUCGUCUCCGCCCUCGGAGCAGUCGGCUUCUCCUUCGCCGUUCAUCAGUUUUUAUUUCUUGCCAAUGCUAGCAACUCCCUUCUCUAAGUAAAUCGCAUCGUACCGGGCACUUCACCUCCAAUUUUCAGAUCAGGAAUAGUAAAA